rnacentral:lncRNA from 1 species
CGGAAACCGGUACCCCUCAGUAACGGUCCGAACCAUCACUGGCACUAGGAUCCAGAUCGGCUUAAGGCCGCCGGGACCCGUAGUAAGCCGACUAUACUCUCUGUGUACCUGAUAAAUCCCAUACAUGAUACAGAACGACUCAACAAUCCUGGAAAACUCUGUAGGCUUAACUACUGCUACUCAGAUAUGUCAAUCUGAAAUGGCCCUCAGGGCCUAUACCAGGGAUUACCAUCUGC